UACGUAGGGCGCAAGCGUUGUCCGGAAUUAUUGGGCGUAAAGAGCUCGUAGGCGGUCUGUCACGUCUGCCGUGAAAACCCGAGGCUUAACCUCGUGGCUUGCGGUGGAUACGGGCAGACUAGAGGUAGGUAGGGGAGAAUGGAAUUCCCGGUGUAGCGGUGAAAUGCGCAGAUAUCAGGAAGAACACCCGUGGCGAAGGCGGCUCUCUGGGACGGUACUGACGCUGAGACGCGAAAGCGUGGGGAGCGAACAGG
rnacentral:rRNA from 1 species